rnacentral:lncRNA from 1 species
GGGGGCCAGAUCAUGAAGUCCAAGUCCAAGUCCGACCAGAAUCUAGUAGAGUGCUUCUACUGUAGGAAGCAGGAUCAUUGAAAGAGGAACUGUCCUCAAUACAUUAUUUUUCUUGAUCUGAACAGGCUAAAGAAAAAAAAGCAAUCGGUUGCUAAGCAAGAUAAUUAUAUGAUAACUCCUUGCAACUUCUCAAUUUGUGAUACAAU